UACGGGGGGAGCAAGCGUUGUUCGGAAUUACUGGGCGUAAAGUGUGCGCAGGCGGCCGCGCAAGUCGAGUGUGAAAGCCCCGAGCUUAACUUGGGAACUGCGCUCGAAACUACGUGGCUGGAGUGUGGCAGAGGAAGGUGGAAUUCCAGGUGUAGCGGUGAAAUGCGUAGAGAUCUGGAGGAACACCGAUGGCGAAGGCAGCCUUCUGGGCCAACACUGACGCUCAUGCACGAAAGCGUGGGGAGCAAACAGG
rnacentral:rRNA from 1 species